UACGGAGGGUGCAAACGUUGCUCGGAAUUAUUGGGCGUAAAGCGCACGUAGGCGGCCGAUUAAGUCGGGUGUGAAAGCCCAGGGCUCAACCCUGGAAGUGCACUCGAAACUGGACGGCUUGAGUAUGGAAGAGGGUUGCGGAAUUCCCGGUGUAGAGGUGAAAUUCGUAGAUAUCGGGAAGAACACCAAUGGCGAAAGCACUCUGCUGGGCCGAAACUGACACUGAGAGACGAAAGCUAGGGGAGCGAAUGGG
rnacentral:rRNA from 1 species